rnacentral:rRNA from 1 species
UACAGAGGUCUCGAGCGUUAGGCGGAAUCACUGGGCCUAAAGCGUGUGUAGGUGGAUGCCUAAGUACCUUGUGAAAUCCCACAGCUUAACUGUGGAACUGCUUGGUAUACUGGGUGUCUUGAGUCACUCAGGGGCGAGCGGAACAAAUGGUGGAGCGGUGAAAUGCGUAGAUAUCAUUUGGAACGCCAAUGGUGAAAACAGCUCGCUGGGGGUGUACUGACACUGAGACACGAAAGCCAGGGGAGCGAACGGG